ensembl:miRNA
GUCCUCUCGGCCCAGGUUCUGUGGUACACUUGGACUUGGACUCUGGAGCAGUCAGUGCAUGACAGAACUUGGGUUUGGAUGGACCCU